GGUGGGCUGCGGGGUGCGUUAGGAGCAUUUAUUCCAGGGCCCUAUAAGAUCCUAUGGGAGUUGACCCUGACGGAGAUCGUGGUCUCCGUCACUCGGCGCCCACCUACUUAAGUAGGGAAACCCGGGAUCUGCGCUCCGACGGCCACCGCGGCCCUUCC
rfam:Methyloceanibacter methanicus strain R-67174 contig_6, whole genome shotgun sequence.